rnacentral:tRNA from 1 species
AGGCGCGUAGCUCAGUGGUAGAGCGUUGCGUUGACGUCGCAAAUGUCGGCGGUUCGAUCCCGCCCGCGCCUA